CCACCCGACCCUGCAGGCCAGGCCUGAGCCACCCACACCCCUCACUCCGUGCGCAGGAUGAUGUGGAUGCCGGAAUCCGUGAACACGGGCCCGCUCAUCUCCCCCGUCCGCAGUGCAAAGGAGGCAUCUUCAAAUGGCUUCUGCAUCUGACCUGGGGAAGUGUGAGCGAUGAAGUUUCCAGGAGAAAGGCAGGAGGCUGGGGCACCAGGCCAGCUCUGCCACAGGAGCUGUUGGCGGAUCCCCUGGGCCUCAACUGUCCAACCUAUUGGAACUGGGAGGAAGGCCCAGGCUGCUAAGUGGGGCGUCGUGAAGAGACCACAAGGCAGCCGAGACGGGACAUGUGUCAUUUCCAUGGACAUGGCCUCAUAGCAGCCGACACCGUUCUUGCAGCUGCCCUAAAAGGCUGUGGUGGCAUCACACUGGAUGCAUCCUGUGUGUGGCGCAGCCACGGGGUGGACUCCCAGGACAUGCAGCUCCAGACCACCCUGGUCCCACAUGGCCUCCCUGACAGCUACUCUCCUGGGGACAUUCUGCACACCCACCCAGCCCACCCCGGGUGUGAGGAUCACCCUGUUAUCCCUGCUAGUGGGCUUCUGCACACCACCCUCCACUGCUCCUGUCUGAGCACCACAGGGACGCUGCUGAUUAAGCCACCUGGCGAACUGAGGCCCAGACACCCAGCCGGGGCCAUCUGCCUGCUGAGCUCGUGCAAACUCCGCUAUGACCACAACUGAAACAACACAACUGUGACAACACAUCUAUCACCCCAUCCUGUCCCACACCAUGGCAGCGCCUGGGUCCUGGUAUCUGGUCCACUGGGGGCCUUCCACUGCUGUCCCCCUCACCCUGUCAUCCCCAUGUCCCAACCAUCCCUCUGCUGCUGGCCCAUUAGUCAUCUGCCAGCAGACCACAGUGACAGCACAGUGUGCCUGCCAUGGAGACUCUGACAAAUGUUAGGUGCUGUCACAAUUCUCCCAUCCAUAAGGGCCACGCGUCUCAGUGAUAAGACUCCCCCCGUUUCUGUGUGACUUGCCCAUCCCUGGGCUAUCCUGCCUGUGCAUCUUGUCAUGGGACAGGCUGCCUGGUCAGAAAAGCUUGCCAGUGCGACAUGAGCCCCACCCUCCAUGGGCAGGGGUGGCUUCUGCCUGCAAUGCCCAUGCUGGGGCUGACCAUGCCCGCUGGGGCUGCUAGGUGGCCCCCCAGUGCUAGCUGCACCCAUUAGUGAUCCAGCCUGAACUGGACAUCACCGAGACUUCUCUACUCCCUGGACUCCGGGCUAUCUCUUCGCCUCACCUGGGCAGCCUCAAGAUUCUUCCUCCUUUCCCUUGUCUGGACCUCGAUUCGCUGGCCAGAGAAUCCUGUGCAUACAGUGCUCCCUGCUGUAACCUGCCCGGCUCCGGGCACAGGCCCCGCACCUGCAGAGCCGAGCCCAGUACAGCACCACCUUGCCGCAUCCUCCAGGAGCCGAUGCUAUCCAAAUGCUCAAGGGGGGAGGAAAAGGAAGCACAUACCAAACACCCCCUGCCACCCUCCUGGCGAUGCCCUGACCUAGCCAGCCUGCCUCAACACCCCUCACCGAGACGGCACUCCAUCCAACGGGCGCUCCAGGCAGCCUGUCCCCUCGGGGCGAUGGACCUAAAUGGGUACUGAUGAGAUUCGAGCCCAAAUCCUGAUCUCCUGAUCACCUGGAACAAGCCCAGGACAGGGGGAGCAUCCACUUUUACAGAAGAGAAAAACAGGCCUGGACACCCGAAGCUUGCUGACAGGGCACAUGAGUGUCUGGUUACAAAGCGUUCCGUGGCCUGGGCCAUCUCCCAGCUUUCUCCUAAUGACCCCUGAGGGGUCUGUCCCAGCUCAUCUCAAGACACUGAGUAAACAGGCCAAAGUCA